ensembl:lncRNA
UGAAAUGAUAAAAUGGGAUCAUCACAAAGACUUUUAUUAAACAUGUGUAUGUAACACAUACUGUAUCAUGACACUGAACAGGCUGAUAAUUCCUGGACCAAAUCAGGCUGUGACAAGAACAUUUUCAAGAAUCAAGUCAGGAUUUUUAAUAAUAAUUUUAAAAAAAGACCAAUAUUAAAAAUAAAAUAAUCCACCGGCUUUCCCACGAGCAUCGGGUGCUUGGUCUCUAGAUGCCGCUGUAGUUUUGAGGGCUUGAGGGCUUCGUUGGACAGCAUUAGCCCACACUCCACGCACUGGGCUUUUGGCACUGCCUCUGUUCCUCCAUUUACGAAACCGUAUUUAAUGAAGUCGACAUUGUAUUUCCGCAAAAACUUUGUCUUUUGGGUGGAGGGGUCAGGAUGUUCGUCGUCAUGUUUUCUGUUAAAAAACGUAUCCAUAUUUGCCGCAGCGAGCAAAGAAGACUCUUCUUCUCUGUGUGUUGUGUUUUCUGUGGAGGUCUGCCGUUUGUGUAGUUUUGUUGUUUCUUAUUUACUUAGUUGAGUUGUUGAUGAACGUCUGAGGCUCGGCAGCCCAAUGGUGUAGUGCCUCUUUAAGAGAACGGUGUGCUGUGGGUCCAUGUGACCGGUGUUCGCCCAAUAAGAAGGUGGCGCAAGAGUUGUAUUAUUGCCACAUAACUUUGACCCGGUGUGCAGCCACUUGUCGCUGUUUCCAGCCGUAGCAGCCAUGGAAUGAGCCAGGGUCUUUUGAACAAGGGUGCUUUUUCAUUAAGGCCUCUGCAACUAUGCAGAAAUGUGCAUCCUCCGGGAAAAUUGAGGAAUUGGAAAUUCCUCUGGCCACUGCUUGGUUCGAGAUGACAGAGACUCGGGGGAUGAAAGCAGUAUAGUAUCGUUUGAUGCCAGUGAAACACAGUCAUCCGACUCGGAUGAAACAGAAGCAGAGGACGCAGCAGUACUGGUCAACGUUGUUUGCUGGAUGACCUGCAUUUUCCCCAAAUUCUGAAGUUCAGCAGUAGAGUUCAGAUUGAAAAAAUCAUUGCCAAAAUCUUGGUAAGGAAAAUGUCAUUGCUACUCCCAUGGUCCCUGCACAUCGGAGAGAGGAGUUCAGCCGGUUCAUCACAGGUGAAAUACCACCAUUUAUAAGAUCGUUUAUGGCAUCGUACAUCGAUCCACCUGACAGAACAGAACAGAGACAAAACAUCGAAGAAUGGCAUAACCAAAUCCUAAACGAGGACGUCUACUACGACCACCAACGAAGGCUCUGAUACCAUAUGGACGAGUGGUGGCAGUAGCUCAGGAGGUAGAGCGGGUUGGCUGGUAACCGGAAGGUUCCCCGGCUCCUCCUAGAGGGUCGAGGUGUCCCUGAGUAGGACACCACACUCUGACUACACUGACCUGGCGUGGUUGACCCCACCAUUGGUAUGUGGACGAGUGAAUGAAUGGUUGUAAGUCGCUUUGGAGAAAAGCAUUUGCAAAAUCCCCUAAUUAAUGGACUAAUGGAGCCGGAGAUGAGGCUGCUGGCUUCCUUCUAUGCAACGAUAUAUCAUAAGAAGUAUAACAUCUAACUGUCACUUUUGCAGUUUUUCUGAAAUUUUCUCAGGCUCAACUAUGAACACUUUAACAUUAUUAUUUCUUUCUACAAUUAAGAUGACAGUAUAUUUGUAAUGGGAAAAAUCUGUUUUCACAUUCUGUGUCUCUGAAUUUGUUGGAAUUUGUUGUGUUCAAUUUGUUGUGUUCAAUGAACCCCUUCGGGGGAAGUGUUCAAAGGCUGUUUUCCUGACCCCCCCGGGGGAAGAAGGGACAGGCCAAGGAUCCAGGGAUUCCACCAAGAUAUUCAAAACACACAUGUACAUACAUGUACACAUAUGUAAAUAUUUGUCUAAAAUGUAAAUAUCAUGGUUGUCCAACUUUUGAAACAUAUGGGUAGUUUUCUACUUAGUUUGGAUGCUCUUAUUCAGUUUACCCUUUGGUUUGAUGUUUUAUGAUUUCUCUAUUCAUUGAUACCAUUGUUGAUAUUUUGAACAGGCUUCUAGCCUCCAUUAACCUGAAAAUGCCAGUCAACUAGCUAUGCUAUGGUGCUUACCACUAGCUUGGUAAGCAACCCACUCGUUUCAUGUUCCAUUUCCUUUUAAUGCAACUUUUUUUGUUGAAUAAUCCUUUCUUUAACAGUACAACAACAAUGAAUAAAUACACUGAUCUUUACCUUGAAACCACAUCUUGGCUUCCCAUCGGUAGCAGUAUAGAAUAACUAUUUCC